GGGUUGUGAGGUUAAGCGACUAAGCGUACACGGUGGAUGCCCUGGCAGUCAGAGGCGAUGAAGGACGUGCUAAUCUGCGAUAAGCGUCGGUAAGGUGAUAUGAACCGUUAUAACCGGCGAUUUCCGAAUGGGGAAACCCAGUGUGUUUCGACACACUAUCAUUAACUGAAUCCAUAGGUUAAUGAGGCGAACCGGGGGAACUGAAACAUCUAAGUACCCCGAGGAAAAGAAAUCAACCGAGAUUCCCCCAGUAGCGGCGAGCGAACGGGGAGCAGCCCAGAGCCUGAAUCAGUGUGUGUGUUAGUGGAAGCGUCUGGAAAGGCGUGCGAUACAGGGUGACAGCCCCGUACACAAAAAUGCACAUGCUGUGAGCUCGAUGAGUAGGGCGGGACACGUGGUAUCCUGUCUGAAUAUGGGGGGACCAUCCUCCAAGGCUAAAUACUCCUGACUGACCGAUAGUGAACCAGUACCGUGAGGGAAAGGCGAAAAGAACCCCGGCGAGGGGAGUGAAAAAGAACCUGAAACCGUGUACGUACAAGCAGUGGGAGCACGCUUAGGCGUGUGACUGCGUACCUUUUGUAUAAUGGGUCAGCGACUUAUAUUCUGUAGCAAGGUUAACCGAAUAGGGGAGCCGAAGGGAAACCGAGUCUUAACUGGGCGUUAAGUUGCAGGGUAUAGACCCGAAACCCGGUGAUCUAGCCAUGGGCAGGUUGAAGGUUGGGUAACACUAACUGGAGGACCGAACCGACUAAUGUUGAAAAAUUAGCGGAUGACUUGUGGCUGGGGGUGAAAGGCCAAUCAAACCGGGAGAUAGCUGGUUCUCCCCGAAAGCUAUUUAGGUAGCGCCUCGUGAAUUCAUCUCCGGGGGUAGAGCACUGUUUCGGCAAGGGGGUCAUCCCGACUUACCAACCCGAUGCAAACUGCGAAUACCGGAGAAUGUUAUCACGGGAGACACACGGCGGGUGCUAACGUCCGUCGUGAAGAGGGAAACAACCCAGACCGCCAGCUAAGGUCCCAAAGUCAUGGUUAAGUGGGAAACGAUGUGGGAAGGCCCAGACAGCCAGGAUGUUGGCUUAGAAGCAGCCAUCAUUUAAAGAAAGCGUAAUAGCUCACUGGUCGAGUCGGCCUGCGCGGAAGAUGUAACGGGGCUAAACCAUGCACCGAAGCUGCGGCAGCGACGCUGAUGCGUUGUUGGGUAGGGGAGCGUUCUGUAAGCCUGCGAAGGUGUGCUGUGAGGCAUGCUGGAGGUAUCAGAAGUGCGAAUGCUGACAUAAGUAACGAUAAAGCGGGUGAAAAGCCCGCUCGCCGGAAGACCAAGGGUUCCUGUCCAACGUUAAUCGGGGCAGGGUGAGUCGACCCCUAAGGCGAGGCCGAAAGGCGUAGUCGAUGGGAAACAGGUUAAUAUUCCUGUACUUGGUGUUACUGCGAAGGGGGGACGGAGAAGGCUAUGUUGGCCGGGCGACGGUUGUCCCGGUUUAAGCGUGUAGGCUGGUUUUCCAGGCAAAUCCGGAAAAUCAAGGCUGAGGCGUGAUGACGAGGCACUACGGUGCUGAAGCAACAAAUGCCCUGCUUCCAGGAAAAGCCUCUAAGCAUCAGGUAACAUCAAAUCGUACCCCAAACCGACACAGGUGGUCAGGUAGAGAAUACCAAGGCGCUUGAGAGAACUCGGGUGAAGGAACUAGGCAAAAUGGUGCCGUAACUUCGGGAGAAGGCACGCUGAUAUGUAGGUGAGGUCCCUCGCGGAUGGAGCUGAAAUCAGUCGAAGAUACCAGCUGGCUGCAACUGUUUAUUAAAAACACAGCACUGUGCAAACACGAAAGUGGACGUAUACGGUGUGACGCCUGCCCGGUGCCGGAAGGUUAAUUGAUGGGGUUAGCGCAAGCGAAGCUCUUGAUCGAAGCCCCGGUAAACGGCGGCCGUAACUAUAACGGUCCUAAGGUAGCGAAAUUCCUUGUCGGGUAAGUUCCGACCUGCACGAAUGGCGUAAUGAUGGCCAGGCUGUCUCCACCCGAGACUCAGUGAAAUUGAACUCGCUGUGAAGAUGCAGUGUACCCGCGGCAAGACGGAAAGACCCCGUGAACCUUUACUAUAGCUUGACACUGAACAUUGAGCCUUGAUGUGUAGGAUAGGUGGGAGGCUUUGAAGUGUGGACGCCAGUCUGCAUGGAGCCGACCUUGAAAUACCACCCUUUAAUGUUUGAUGUUCUAACGUUGACCCGUAAUCCGGGUUGCGGACAGUGUCUGGUGGGUAGUUUGACUGGGGCGGUCUCCUCCUAAAGAGUAACGGAGGAGCACGAAGGUUGGCUAAUCCUGGUCGGACAUCAGGAGGUUAGUGCAAUGGCAUAAGCCAGCUUGACUGCGAGCGUGACGGCGCGAGCAGGUGCGAAAGCAGGUCAUAGUGAUCCGGUGGUUCUGAAUGGAAGGGCCAUCGCUCAACGGAUAAAAGGUACUCCGGGGAUAACAGGCUGAUACCGCCCAAGAGUUCAUAUCGACGGCGGUGUUUGGCACCUCGAUGUCGGCUCAUCACAUCCUGGGGCUGAAGUAGGUCCCAAGGGUAUGGCUGUUCGCCAUUUAAAGUGGUACGCGAGCUGGGUUUAGAACGUCGUGAGACAGUUCGGUCCCUAUCUGCCGUGGGCGCUGGAGAACUGAGGGGGGCUGCUCCUAGUACGAGAGGACCGGAGUGGACGCAUCACUGGUGUUCGGGUUGUCAUGCCAAUGGCACUGCCCGGUAGCUAAAUGCGGAAGAGAUAAGUGCUGAAAGCAUCUAAGCACGAAACUUGCCCCGAGAUGAGUUCUCCCUGACUCCUUGAGAGUCCUGAAGGAACGUUGAAGACGACGACGUUGAUAGGCCGGGUGUGUAAGCGCAGCGAUGCGUUGAGCUAACCGGUACUAAUGAACCGUGAGGCUUAACCUUACAACGCCGAAGCUGUU
rnacentral:rRNA from 1 species